UUUGAGCAGCCGACCCACGAAGAACAAAUCGAGCUGUUUGUGAACACUCGGGAACAAGCUGCCCGAACUCGGCCGAUAUCGUCAAUGGAAACUUGGGAAAUCCAACAUGGGCAUGUGAACAACCUGAAAUAUGCAAAGUCUGAUGCUAGGUGUUUGAGAAUCCAAAAUUUGAAGCAAAUAUGUGAAACUUAUAUUGCUUAUGAACUCUUUUUUAAAGGCAGGGCCAAGACACACUUUUGGAUGGAUGAAACGUUUGGGGUAACACAUCUACAAAUUGUGGAGUAAAGCAGUGCAGAGUGGGCUGUCU